CUCAACAUAUGUGAAAAUGGCAGCACGUUUCUAUGUUUAAUGGAUAAAGAGAGGAAGGGUGGUGCUGGAGAUGAUGAAUAUGAAGUUGAACAUUUUAGAAAUGUAAAACUAGAACCAGUGAAAAAAUAGCAAAUUUCCAAUUUAAGCCCAAAAGGGAAGAUUCACCCUCUUCAGAUAAUUAUUUAGUAAUUUAUCUGCAAAAAAAACUUUUGAGAUCAAAAGCAGUAGCAACACCAGGAUGAAACACCAGGAUCAAGGUGUUCACAUGGAAAAAAGCAGCAGCGGACAUUUCUGAACUCUUAACCAACGCGC
rnacentral:lncRNA from 1 species